AUGGAGACUAAAUUGGUACAGGACAAACCAAGUCCAAGAAAUAAGCAGCAAAACUACCAAGAUGCCAUGGCGAUUUGUCGUUGGUCUGGCUAUCCUGAUCUCUUCAUUACUUUUACAUGCAAUCCAAAAUGGCUGGAAAUACAAGAUAUGUUGGAUCUGAUUCCAGGCCAGAAACCUGAAGAUCGUCCAGAUAUUGUUGCCAGAGUAUUCAUGUUAAAACUGAAGGAACUUAUGAAUGACAUAAAGAACGGAAAGUGUUUUGGACAAACAAUUGCAAUUUCCAACCAAAUGGACUUGGCAUGCACAAGAGAAAGAAUGGAAGAAAAGGCGUGGUGGAAAAAAACCAUAGGCAGGAUUUACUAUGCACAACCAACGAGCGGUGAAAAAUACUACUUGAGAAUGCUGUUAAAUACCGUCAAAGGAUGCAGAUCAUAUGAAGAAAUUCGAACAGUUGAUGGGUUUGUACAUCCAACAUUCAAAUCCGCAUGUUAUGCUCUUAGGCUACUUAAUGACGACAAAGAGUGGGAUGACUGCAUCAAGGAAGCAUCCCAUUGGGCCUCUGCUCCUCAAAUGCGCCAACUUUUCUGCACAAUACUUUUAUUUUGUGAGGUGACGGAUCCCGCAAAGUUGUGGCAAACAAAUUGGGAGUUACUAUCUGAGGAUAUCCAACGUCAACAAAGAAGAAUAUUCAAUUUUCAGGCCCUGGAACUCAACUCGGCACAAAUAAAGAGCCUGCUCCUGGCAGAGAUAGAACAACUAUUGACUAAAGGUGGUAAGUCCCUCAACGAUUUUCCAGGAAUGCCACUACCAGAUAGUUCAGUUCUUCAAGAUCUAAAUAAUAGAUUAGUAAAUGAGGAACUAAACUAUGAUAAAGAUUCUUUAAGAAUAGAGCACAUGAAGUUACUUCGUAAGCUAAAUCAGGAUCAGAGGAUGGCUUUUGAUGUUAUAAUAGAAUCAGUCAAUGACAGUCUUGGAAAGUUGAUUUUUGUUGACCGAUAUGGUGGAACUGGAAAGACAUUUUUGUGGAAAGCAGUCACCACAAAAUUAAGAUCUGAAGGAAAAAUAGUUCUAGCGGUUGCUUCAAGUGGUAUAGCAGCAGUUCUUUUACAGGGUGGAAGAACAACUCAUUCAAGAUUUCACAUUCCCCUCAAGAUCACUAAUGAGUCCACAUGCAACAUCAAGCAAGGAACAUUUCUUGCGGAGCUAAUAAAGAAAACAUCACUGAUAAUAUGGGAUGAAGCACCUAUGACACACAAGCACUGUUUUCAGGCACUAGAUAAGAGUUUGAGGGACAUACUUCGAUUCACAUAUGAGGACGCAGAGCAUAGACCAUUUGGAGGAAUGACAGUAGUCUUGGGAGGUGACUUCAGGCAAAUCCUACCAGUUAUACCGAAGGGGAAAAGGGAACAUAUCAUUUCUGCAUCAAUAAAGAGAUCCUACCUAUGCGUCUGA
rnacentral:rRNA from 1 species